rnacentral:rRNA from 1 species
UACGGGGGGGGCAAGCGUUGUUCGGAAUUACUGGGCGUAAAGGGUGCGUAGGCGGUUGGGUAAGUCUGUCGUGAAAUCUCCGAGCCUAACUCGGAAACUGCGUCGGAUACUAUUCAACUCGAGGAAUGGAGGGGAGACUGGAAUUCUCGGUGUAGCAGUGAAAUGCGUAGAUAUCGAGAGGAACACCAGUGGCGAAGGCGAGUCUCUGGACAUUUCCUGACGCUGAGGCACGGAAGCCAGGGGAGCAAACGGG